rfam:Myotis davidii contig179441, whole genome shotgun sequence.
GGUGGUUCUGGGGUGACGCACCCUGGAAUCGGGCUCCCUCCUCUCUAGUUCCUAGUGCAUCACCAGAGAACUGCA